rnacentral:rRNA from 1 species
AGUGAACGCUGGCGGUAGGCCUAACACAUGCAAGUCGAACGGCAGCACAGUAAGAGCUUGCUCUUACGGGUGGCGAGUGGCGGACGGGUGAGGAAUACAUCGGAAUCUACUUUUUCGUGGGGGAUAACGUAGGGAAACUUACGCUAAUACCGCAUACGACCUACGGGUGAAAGCAGGGGAUCUUCGGACCUUGCGCGAUUGAAUGAGCCGAUGUCGGAGUAGCUAGUGGGCGGGGUAAAGGCCCACCAAGUCGACGAUCCGUAGCUGGUCUGAGAGGAUGAUCAGCCACACUGGAACUGAGACACGGUCCAGACUCCUACGGGAGGCAGCAGUGGGGAAUAUUGGACAAUGGGCGCAAGCCUGAUCCAGCCAUACCGCGUGGGUGAAGAAGGCCUUCGGGUUGUAAAGCCCUUUUGUUGGGAAAGAAAAGCAGCAGGUUAAUACCCCGCUGUUCUGACGGUACCCAAAGAAUAAGCACCGGCUAACUUCGUG